rnacentral:rRNA from 1 species
GUCGCAUGCUCCCGGCCGCCAUGGCGGCCGCGGGAAUUCGAUUAGAGUUUGAUCAUGGCUCAGAUUGAACGCUGGGGGCAUGCCUAACACAUGCAAGUCGAACGGCAGCACAGUAAAGAUUUCGGUCUUUAUGGGGUGGCGAGUGGCGGACGGGUGAGUAACACGUAGGAAUCUGUCCUGGAGCGUGGGAUAACCCGAGGAAACUCGGGCUAAUACCACAUGAUAUCGAGAGAUCAAAAGCAGGGGACCGAAAGGCCUUGCGCUCUGGGGUGAGCCUACGUCGGAUUAGCUAGUUGGUGGGGUAAAAGCCUACCAAGGCGACGAUCCGUAGCUGGUCUGAGAGGAUGACCAGCCACACUGGGACUGAGACACGGCCCAGACUCCUACGGGAGGCAGCAGUGGGGAAUCUUGGACAAUGGGGGAAACCCUGAUCCAGCGAUGCCGCGUGUGUGAAGAAGGCCUUCGGGUUGUAAAGCACUUUAGGUGGGGAAGAAAGGUAACGAGCGAAUAACUCGUUGCUAUGACGGUACCCGCAGAAUAAGCACCGGCUAACUCUGUGCCAGCAGCCGCGGUAAUACGAAUCACUAGUGAAUUCGCGGCCGCCUGCAGGUCGACCAUAUGGGAGAGCUCCCAA